rnacentral:rRNA from 1 species
UGAGGGAUCUUGCGCAAUGGGGGCAACCCUGACGCAGCAACGCCGCGUGAGUGAGGAUGGUCUUCGGAUCGUAAAGCUCUGUCGGAUGGAAAGAACCGCAUAGGGGCAAACAGCCCCUGUGUCUGACGGUACCGUCAAAGGAAGCACCGGCUAACUCCGUGCCAGCAGCCGCGGUAAUACGGGGGGUGCAAGCGUGGUUCGGAAUUAUUGGGCGUAAAGAGCGUGUAGGCGGCCGGAUAUGUCAGAUGUGAAAGCCCUGGGCUUAACCCAGGAAGUGCAUUUGAAACUGUCCGGCUCGAGUAGGGGAGAGGGAAGUGGAAUUCCUGGUGUAGAGGUGAAAUUCGUAGAUAUCAGGAGGAACACCGGUGGCGAAGGCGACUUCCUGGCCCUAUACUGACGCUGAGACGCGAGAGCGUGGGUAGCAAACAG